AAAGCUUGAAAAAUGGUUGAGUACUGCAAAUCCUUUACAUUUUUGGUAGAAAUUAGCUUGGUUUGCUGUUUAUCUUCAUAAGUUUGAAACCUUUCAAGAGUUUUCUGGUUCAUUCUCGGUUUAAAAUAGUUUGGAUGGACUGUUCCUUGCUGUUAUUUAGCUGUCUUAAUAUUGCUGAUGCUUUGCUGCUGGUUUUCUCCAACUUCAAGUUUAUUUCCAUUAUUGUUCUUUGUUGUAACCAGGUACACAUUUCUGGAUCCUAUUGAAUGUGAGGCUCG
rnacentral:lncRNA from 1 species